AUACGGGGGGUGCAAGCGUUGUUCGGAAUUAUUGGGCGUAAAGAGCGUGUAGGCGGCUGGAUAAGUCAGAUGUGAAAUCCCUGGGCUUAACUCAGGAAGUGCAUUUGAAACUAUCCAGCUUGAGUAAGGGAGAGGAAAGUGGAAUUCCUGGUGUAGAGGUGAAAUUCGUAGAUAUCAGGAGGAACACCGGUGGCGAAGGCGACUUUCUGGCCCUAUACUGACGCUGAGACGCGAGAGCGUGGGUAGC
rnacentral:rRNA from 1 species